UAAAAGCACAACACUCGCAUUUGGAGGAAUCUGACACACAUUUAAAACCUGAUGUGUAUAACAGAACACAGCGGCUAUAGUCAGGCUAACAGAUUAGAUGUGGCACUGAUGAAUGAGACAUGGCCAUGGUGUCGACACACACAGAGACACACACAAGCCUUCGGGGGGGUAAUUAACACAGGGUUAGUGACUCUAACUAAAACCUGUUCCUACACAACAUGCUUUAGCAAAUUCUAUGAGCUUUAUAUUUGUCUUGAAGUGAUUGUUUUACAAUCACUCACCAAAAGUCACAUGACAUGAAUAAUAAAGUGCCAUAUUCUUUAGAGUUAAAACACAAAGACCUUAUAAAAGAAAAAGAAAAAAAAAAGAUGCAGGGACCACGAGACAGACACAGAGGUAUUAGUGAGGAGGAAAACAAGAGCAUGGUGAGUUGUGCCAGAGCCAGGGCAAUAAAUGACCUUUUCAGAGAAAGCCCCUUACGCAGUCUUGGGCCAAGGUACACUUUUAUUUAUAGAAGGUAUUUAUAGAAGCGAUUUUCCCGAGGUUAUCCUGAGCAAAAUGCCAGUUCUCAUUACCAGCCGGGUCCUGCCUGUGCCUCAUUUUACGGCUGGAUGAGCCCAGGCAGUGGGGGACCCAGCAUGCAGCCCAGGGUCACCUAUUAAAUCCUCAUGUCCAAGAGAGCACCGUCAUGCACUUCUUGUUCUACACUGGGUGGGGCUUUGGAGCAGCAAGAAUAGAGUGAGUAAACGGGUGGCCAGGUGUGUGUACGCAGGUGUGUGUGCUUGCUAUUGUGCAGAGAGUGAUUUAUUAAGGGAGUAUGCCAUUAGUACUUGAGUUUGCUGCUAUGUACCUAUUGCAUUUUUUUCAAGGUUCUGAUGAUUGCAUUUGAAAUCUGCCACAUGUUUUUUUAUGUUCAAAAUGUGUCACGCUAACAAAACUAGUUAAAUAUAUUUUAAUUUAGUUGCACUGGUUCACAAAGGGUAUCAUAUCUGUCUACAAAAAAUUAAUGAGUUGCCAACAAGAAAACAUUUAUGCACGCAUCUGUAUCCAUGAGCCUGAUUCACUUCCUCUGCAUUGUUUCUGAGUCUCCAUGAGAGUGUAUGUGAGUGUCAGUGUAAAUGAAUGUGUCUCUCAUCAGAGCAGCUAUAAGUCACCCUGGCGAAGCACUUCAGGCCCUUCUGGUGGGGCCUGGGAGCCUCAGCAUGGGGUCAUCACAGCUCUGGGGCAUAGAGAGCAUUGAAUGUCAACUCAAAGACAUGUACAGGUUCCAGAAAAAAGAAAAAGAAAAACUACACUGAUGACAGUAAAGAACGAAUGCCAAAUUAUAUACUGUCAAAACAAAAAGUUGGAAGCUAACGAUUAAGACUUAUUGACCAAUAUACGGAAGGAUGACACUGCCAACAAAACUACUUUCAUAUUUCUCAGUGUGCUUCUUUUUCAUGUAAAAUAAAACUACAAAAUAGAUGACACAGCAAAAGAAAAAAGAAAAAAAAGAAAGAAAAUAGUUUAACACACCUGCACAUUUUUCUUCUCAUCUGUCUCUGAACGAGAGCAAAAGAGUGGGGAAGGUAGAGCCUGGACAGAUACGGUAUGGUACAUGGACAAUAGAAACCCUGGGGAAUUGUGCAAUAUUCACAAAGAGCAGCAUCAAAAGAAUCUUCUGCCCCCACAUUUUAGUCUUGAGGGAUUUCAGUGCUGCAAGAGAAUCAGAUGUAUAAAUCAAAUUACUUUAAAAUUCAGAUAGAAAAACGACCUGCUUACCUUAAUGCGUAUUUCCUAAGACAUUCUGUACUUGGUGAAAAUGUAUUAAUAAUCUACACAAUCUACUGAAGACAGCCCCCUCUUUACUUAGCAAUAAAUAAAGAAAUCUGAUACUUUAUCGGUAGAAUCAUAAACAGUGUAGGUUUUCUAUCAGCUGUAUUUUCUCCUAGAAAAUAAAAGUUAUUCCCAUUUUUCCAGAUAUUACAGUCC
ensembl:lncRNA